AUUGAACGCUGGCGGCAUGCCUUACACAUGCAAGUCGAGCGGCAGCGCGGGGGCAACCCUCGCGGCGAGCGGCGAACGGGUGAGUAAUGCAUCGGAACGUGUCCUCUUGUGGGGGAGUAACCAGUCGAAAGACUGGCUAAUACCGCAUGAGAUCGCAAGAUGAAAGCAGGGGACCCGCAAGGGCCUUGCGCGAGAGGAGCGGCCGAUGCCCGAUAGCUAGUUGGUGGGGUAAAAGACCUACCAAGGCGACGAUCGGUAGCUGGUCUGAGAGGACGACCAGCCACACUGGGACUGAGACACGGCCCAGACUCCUACGGGAGGCAGCAGUGGGGAAUUUUGGACAAUGGGGGCAACCCUGAUCCAGCCAUGCCGCGUGUGUGAAGAAGGCC
rnacentral:rRNA from 1 species